AUAUAUGUCUACAGCUUCUCAGAUUUGACCAAAGACAGUUGUUCGGUGUUGUGAAUGGGUGUUGUUCGGCCGAAGGCCUUCCAGUCACACAGAAGAUCCUGGUUCGGUCACACAAAGGGUCACUUCCAUUGGUAUUAGUCACUGGAAAAAUUAGGAGCACCAGUUGUAGUUUCUCAGUACCUAAAAACCUGAAAUGAGAGCGCUCGGACAAUGUGAAAUGUCGCAUAGAUGG
rnacentral:lncRNA from 1 species